rnacentral:rRNA from 1 species
UAGGGAAUCUUCCACAAUGGACGCAAGUCUGAUGGAGCAACGCCGCGUGAGUGAAGAAGGUUUUCGGACCGUAAAGCUCUGUUGUUGGUGAAGAAGGAUAGAGGUAGUAACUGGCCUUUAUUUGACGGUAAUCAACCAGAAAGUCACGGCUAACUACGUGCCAGCAGCCGCGGUAAUACGUAGGUGGCAAGCGUUGUCCGGAUUUAUUGGGCGUAAAGCGAGCGCAGGCGGAAGAAUAAGUUUGAUGUGAAAGCCCUCGGCUUAACCGAGGAAUUGCAUCGGAAACUGUUUUUCCCUGAGUGCAGAAGAGGAGAGUAGAACUCCAUGUGUAGCGGUGGAAUGCGUAGAUAUAUGGAAGAAUACCAGUGGCGAAGGCGGCUCUCUGGUCUGCAACUGACGCUGAGGCUCGAAAGCAUGGGUAGCGAACAGGAUUAGAUACCCUGGUAGUCCAUGCCGUAAACGAUGAGUGCUAAGUGUUGGGAGGCUUCCGCCUCUCAGUGCUGCAGCUAACGCAUUAAGCACUCCGCCUGGGGGAGUACGACCGCAAGGUUGAAAC